rnacentral:rRNA from 1 species
UGGGGGAUAUUGCACAAUGGGCGAAAGCCUGAUGCAGCGACGCCGCGUGGGGGAUGAAGGCUUUAGGGUUGUAAACCUCUUUCGCUAUCGAACAAGGCCCGCUUAGGGUGGGUUGAGGGUAGGUGGAGAAGAAGCGCCGGCUAACUACGUGCCAGCAGCCGCGGUAAUACGUAGGGCGCGAGCGUUGUCCGGAAUUAUUGGGCGUAAAGGGCUUGUAGGCGGCUUGUUGCGCCUGCUGUGAAAACGCGGGGCUUAACUUCGCGCGUGCAGUGGGUACGGGCAGGCUUGAGUGUGGUAGGGGUGACUGGAAUUCCAGGUGUAGCGGUGGAAUGCGCAGAUAUCUGGAGGAACACCGAUGGCGAAGGCAGGUCACUGGGCCAUUACUGACGCUGAGGAGCGAAAGCAUGGGUAGCGAACAGG